AUUGAACGCUGGCGGCAGGCUUAACACAUGCAAGUCGAGCGGAGUGAUGGUGCUUGCACUAUCACUUAGCGGCGGACGGGUGAGUAAUGCUUAGGAAUCUGCCUAUUAGUGGGGGACAACAUCUCGAAAGGGAUGCUAAUACCGCAUACGUCCUACGGGAGAAAGCAGGGGAUCACUUGUGACCUUGCGCUAAUAGAUGAGCCUAAGUCGGAUUAGCUAGUUGGUGGGGUAAAGGCCUACCAAGGCGACGAUCUGUAGCGGGUCUGAGAGGAUGAUCCGCCACACUGGGACUGAGACACGGCCCAGACUCCUACGGGAGGCAGCAGUGGGGAAUAUUGGACAAUGGGGGGAACCCUGAUCCAGCCAUGCCGCGUGUGUGAAGAAGGCCUUAUGGUUGUAAAGCACUUUAAGCGAGGAGGAGGCUCUUUUGGUUAAUACCCAGGAUGAGUGGACGUUACUCGCAGAAUAAGCACCGGCUAACUCUGUGCCAGCCGCCGCCGUAAUAC
rnacentral:rRNA from 1 species